rnacentral:rRNA from 1 species
UACGAAGGGGGCUAGCGUUGUUCGGAAUUACUGGGCGUAAAGCGCGCGUAGGCGGUGCUCUUUGUCCGAGGUGAAAUCCCGAGGCUCAACUUCGGAAUUGCCUUUGAAACGGGAUCGCUUGAGUCCGAGAGAGGAUGGCGGAAUUCCUAGUGUAGAGGUGAAAUGCGUAGAUAUCGAGAGGAACACCAGUGGCGAAGGCGAGUCCCUGGACAACACCUGACACUGAGGCACGAAAGCUAGGGGAGCAAACAGG